rnacentral:rRNA from 1 species
AUUGAACGCUGGCGGCAUGCCUUACACAUGCAAGUCGAACGGCAGCACGGGUGCUUGCACCUGGUGGCGAGUGGCGAACGGGUGAGUAAUACAUCGGAACAUGUCCUGUAGCUGGGGAUAGCCCGGCGAAAGCCGGAUUAAUACCGCAUACGAUCUACGGAUGAAAGCGGGGGACCUUCGGGCCUCGCGCUAUAGGGUUGGCCGAUGGCUGAUUAGCUAGUUGGUGGGGUAAAGGCCUACCAAGGCGACGAUCAGUAGCUGGUCUGAGAGGACGACCAGCCACACUGGGACUGAGACACGGCCCAGACUCCUACGGGAGGCAGCAGUGGGGAAUUUUGGACAAUGGGCGAAAGCCUGAUCCAGCAAUGCCGCGUGUGUGAAGAAGGCCUUCGGGUUGUAAAGCACUUUUGUCCGGAAAGAAAUCCUUGGCCCUAAUACGGUCGGGGGAUGACGGUACCGGAAGAAUAAGCACCGGCUAACUACGUG